rnacentral:rRNA from 1 species
AUUGAACGCUGGCGGCGUGCUUAACACAUGCAAGUCGAUCGGUAACGCGGGGGCAACCCUGGCGACGAGAGGCGGACGGGUGAGGAACGCUUGGGAAUCUGCCUAUCAGCGGGGGACAACACGGGGAAACUCGUGCUAAUACCGCAUACGCUCUACGGAGGAAAGCCGGGGACCGCAAGGCCUGGCACUGAUAGAUGAGCCCAAGCCGGAUUAGCUAGUUGGCGGGGUAACGGCCCACCAAGGCGACGAUCCGUGGCUGGUCUGAGAGGACGAUCAGCCAAACUGGGAAUGAGACACGGCCCAGACUCCUACGGGAGGCAGCAGUGGGGAAUAUUGGACAAUGGGGGAAACCCUGAUCCAGCGACGCCGCGUGGGUGAAGAAGGCCUGCGGGUUGUAAAGCCCUUUCGGUAGGGACGAAAGCUCUCGACCUAACACGUCGGGAGGUUGACUUAACCUACAAAAGAAGCACCGGCUAACUCUGUGCCAGCAGCCGCCGUAACAC